rnacentral:rRNA from 1 species
GGGUUGUGAGGUUAAGCGACUAAGCGUACACGGUGGAUGCCCUGGCAGUCAGAGGCGAUGAAGGACGUGCUAAUCUGCGAAAAGCGUCGGUAAGGUGAUAUGAACCGUUAUAACCGGCGAUGUCCGAAUGGGGAAACCCAGUGUGAUUCGUCACACUAUCGUUAACUGAAUACAUAGGUUAACGAGGCGAACCGGGGGAACUGAAACAUCUAAGUACCCCGAGGAAAAGAAAUCAACCGAGAUUCCCCCAGUAGCGGCGAGCGAACGGGGAGCAGCCCAGAGUCUGAAUCAGCUUGUGUGUUAGUGGAACGGUCUGGAAAGUCCGACGGUACAGGGUGAUAGUCCCGUACACCAAAAUGCACAGGUUGUGAACUCGAAGAGUAGGGCGGGACACGUGGUAUCCUGUCUGAAUAUGGGGGGACCAUCCUCCAAGGCUAAAUACUCCUGACUGACCGAUAGUGAACCAGUACCGUGAGGGAAAGGCGAAAAGAACCCCGGCGAGGGGAGUGAAAAAGAACCUGAAACCGUGUACGUACAAGCAGUGGGAGCACCUUCGGGUGUGACUGCGUACCUUUUGUAUAAUGGGUCAGCGACUUAUAUUCUGUAGCAAGGUUAACCGUAUAGGGGAGCCGCAGGGAAACCGAGUCUUAACUGGGCGUUAAGUUGCAGGGUAUAGACCCGAAACCCGGUGAUCUAGCCAUGGGCAGGUUGAAGGUUGGGUAACACUAACUGGAGGACCGAACCGACUAAUGUUGAAAAAUUAGCGGAUGACUUGUGGCUGGGGGUGAAAGGCCAAUCAAACCGGGAGAUAGCUGGUUCUCCCCGAAAGCUAUUUAGGUAGCGCCUCGUGAAUUCAUCUUCGGGGGUAGAGCACUGUUUCGGCUAGGGGGUCAUCCCGACUUACCAACCCGAUGCAAACUACGAAUACCGAAGAAUGUUAUCACGGGAGACACACGGCGGGUGCUAACGUCCGUCGUGAAGAGGGAAACAACCCAGACCGCCAGCUAAGGUCCCAAAGUCAUGGUUAAGUGGGAAACGAUGUGGGAAGGCACAGACAGCCAGGAUGUUGGCUUAGAAGCAGCCAUCAUUUAAAGAAAGCGUAAUAGCUCACUGGUCGAGUCGGCCUGCGCGGAAGAUGUAACGGGGCUAAACCAUGCACCGAAGCUGCGGCAGCGACACGAUGUGUUGUUGGGUAGGGGAGCGUUCUGUAAGCCUGCGAAGGUGUGCUGUGAGGCAUGCUGGAGGUAUCAGAAGUGCGAAUGCUGACAUAAGUAACGAUAAAGCGGGUGAAAAGCCCGCUCGCCGGAAGACCAAGGGUUCCUGUCCAACGUUAAUCGGGGCAGGGUGAGUCGACCCCUAAGGCGAGGCCGAAAGGCGUAGUCGAUGGGAAACAGGUUAAUAUUCCUGUACUUGGUGUUACUGCGAAGGGGGGACGGAGAAGGCUAUGUUAGCCGGGCGACGGUUGUCCCGGUUUAAGCAUGUAGGCUGGUUGUCCAGGCAAAUCCGGAUAAUCAAGGCUGAGGUGUGAUGACGAGGCACUACGGUGCUGAAGUAACAAAUGCCCUGCUUCCAGGAAAAGCCUCUAAGCAUCAGGUAACAUCAAAUCGUACCCCAAACCGACACAGGUGGUCAGGUAGAGAAUACCAAGGCGCUUGAGAGAACUCGGGUGAAGGAACUAGGCAAAAUGGUGCCGUAACUUCGGGAGAAGGCACGCUGGUGUGUAGGUGAAGUCCCUGCGGAUGGAGCUGAGACCAGUCGAAGAUACCAGCUGGCUGCAACUGUUUAUUAAAAACACAGCACUGUGCAAACACGAAAGUGGACGUAUACGGUGUGACGCCUGCCCGGUGCCGGAAGGUUAAUUGAUGGGGUUAUCCGUAAGGAGAAGCUCUUGAUCGAAGCCCCGGUAAACGGCGGCCGUAACUAUAACGGUCCUAAGGUAGCGAAAUUCCUUGUCGGGUAAGUUCCGACCUGCACGAAUGGCGUAAUGAUGGCCAGGCUGUCUCCACCCGAGACUCAGUGAAAUUGAACUCGCUGUGAAGAUGCAGUGUACCCGCGGCAAGACGGAAAGACCCCGUGAACCUUUACUAUAGCUUGACACUGAACAUUGAGCCUUGAUGUGUAGGAUAGGUGGGAGGCUUUGAAGCGUGGACGCCAGUCUGCGUGGAGCCAACCUUGAAAUACCACCCUUUAAUGUUUGAUGUUCUAACGUUGGCCCCUGACCGGGGUUGCGGACAGUGUCUGGUGGGUAGUUUGACUGGGGCGGUCUCCUCCCAAAGCGUAACGGAGGAGCACGAAGGUUAGCUAAUCCUGGUCGGACAUCAGGAGGUUAGUGCAAUGGCAUAAGCUAGCUUGACUGCGAGCGUGACGGCGCGAGCAGGUGCGAAAGCAGGUCAUAGUGAUCCGGUGGUUCUGAAUGGAAGGGCCAUCGCUCAACGGAUAAAAGGUACUCCGGGGAUAACAGGCUGAUACCGCCCAAGAGUUCAUAUCGACGGCGGUGUUUGGCACCUCGAUGUCGGCUCAUCACAUCCUGGGGCUGAAGUAGGUCCCAAGGGUAUGGCUGUUCGCCAUUUAAAGUGGUACGCGAGCUGGGUUUAGAACGUCGUGAGACAGUUCGGUCCCUAUCUGCCGUGGGCGCUGGAGAAUUGAGGGGGGCUGCUCCUAGUACGAGAGGACCGGAGUGGACGCAUCACUGGUGUUCGGGUUGUCAUGCCAAUGGCACUGCCCGGUAGCUAAAUGCGGAAGAGAUAAGUGCUGAAAGCAUCUAAGCACGAAACUUGCCCCGAGAUGAGUUCUCCCUGAGACUUUAAGUCUCCUGAAGGAACGUUGAAGACGACGACGUUGAUAGGCCGGGUGUGUAAGCGCAGCGAUGCGUUGAGCUAACCGGUACUAAUGAACCGUGAGGCUUAACCUUACAACGCCGAAG